AUGCUCAGUGGCUUCUCGACAAGUUGGCAGCAACAACACGGCCCUGGUCGUCGUCGCCGCUGCGGUAACGGAGCGGUUUGGGUGGCGGAGCCUGCGUUCGCGCCUUCCCGCUCUCCUCGGGAGGCCCUUCCUGCUCUCCCCUAGGCUCCGCGGCCGCCCAGGGGGUGGGAGCGGGUGAGGGGAGCCAGGCGCCCAGCGAGAGAGGCCCCCCGCCGCAGGGCGGCCCGGGAGCUCGAGGCGGUCCGGCCCGCGCGGGCAGCGGCGCGGCGCUGAGGAGGGGCGGCCUGGCCGGGACGCCUCGGGGCGGGGGCCGAGGAGCUCUCCGGGCCGCCGGGGAAAGCUACGGGCCCGGUGCGUCCGCGGACCAGCAGCGCGGGAGAGCGGACUCCCCUCGCCACCGCCCGAGCCCAGGUUAUCCUGAAUACAUGUCUAACAAUUUUCCUUGCAACGUUAGCUGUUGUUUUUCACUGUUUCCAAAGGAUCAAAAUUGCUUCAGAAAUUGGAGACAUAUUUGAUUUAAAAGGAAAAACUUGAACAAAUGGACAAUAUGUCUAUUACGAAUACACCAACAAGUAAUGAUGCCUGUCUGAGCAUUGUGCAUAGUUUGAUGUGCCAUAGACAAGGUGGAGAGAGUGAAACAUUUGCAAAAAGAGCAAUUGAAAGUUUGGUAAAGAAGCUGAAGGAGAAAAAAGAUGAAUUGGAUUCUUUAAUAACAGCUAUAACUACAAAUGGAGCUCAUCCUAGUAAAUGUGUUACCAUACAGAGAACAUUGGAUGGGAGGCUUCAGGUGGCUGGUCGGAAAGGAUUUCCUCAUGUGAUCUAUGCCCGUCUCUGGAGGUGGCCUGAUCUUCACAAAAAUGAACUAAAACAUGUUAAAUAUUGUCAGUAUGCGUUUGACUUAAAAUGUGAUAGUGUCUGUGUGAAUCCAUAUCACUACGAACGAGUUGUAUCACCUGGAAUUGAUCUCUCAGGAUUAACACUGCAGAGUAAUGCUCCAUCAAGUAUGAUGGUGAAGGAUGAAUAUGUGCAUGACUUUGAGGGACAGCCAUCGUUGUCCACUGAAGGACAUUCAAUUCAAACCAUCCAGCAUCCACCAAGUAAUCGUGCAUCGACAGAGACAUACAGCACCCCAGCUCUGUUAGCCCCAUCUGAGUCUAAUGCUACCAGCACUGCCAACUUUCCCAACAUUCCUGUGGCUUCCACAAGUCAGCCUGCCAGUAUACUGGGGGGCAGCCAUAGUGAAGGACUGUUGCAGAUAGCAUCAGGGCCUCAGCCAGGACAGCAGCAGAAUGGAUUUACUGGUCAGCCAGCUACUUACCAUCAUAACAGCACUACCACCUGGACUGGAAGUAGGACUGCACCAUACACACCUAAUUUGCCUCACCACCAAAACGGCCAUCUUCAGCACCACCCGCCUAUGCCGCCCCAUCCCGGACAUUACUGGCCUGUUCACAAUGAGCUUGCAUUCCAGCCUCCCAUUUCCAAUCAUCCUGCUCCUGAGUAUUGGUGUUCCAUUGCUUACUUUGAAAUGGAUGUUCAGGUAGGAGAGACAUUUAAGGUUCCUUCAAGCUGCCCUAUUGUUACUGUUGAUGGAUACGUGGACCCUUCUGGAGGAGAUCGCUUUUGUUUGGGUCAACUCUCCAAUGUCCACAGGACAGAAGCCAUUGAGAGAGCAAGGUUGCACAUAGGCAAAGGUGUGCAGUUGGAAUGUAAAGGUGAAGGUGAUGUUUGGGUCAGGUGCCUUAGUGACCACGCGGUCUUUGUACAGAGUUACUACUUAGACAGAGAAGCUGGGCGUGCACCUGGAGAUGCUGUUCAUAAGAUCUACCCAAGUGCAUAUAUAAAGGUCUUUGAUUUGCGUCAGUGUCAUCGACAGAUGCAGCAGCAGGCGGCUACUGCACAAGCUGCAGCAGCUGCCCAGGCAGCAGCCGUGGCAGGAAACAUCCCUGGCCCAGGAUCAGUAGGUGGAAUAGCUCCAGCUAUCAAGUUAAACUCCUGACUAUAGACUUUUAUGAUGGAAACACGUGGCACCCAUCUUCCACGUCUGAAGGCAUAACUAGUGAUUCAUUCAACCCCUGUUCUUAACCUCUUCAGUGUGGUCUGUCAGCUGCUGCUGGAAUUGGUGUUGAUGACCUUCGUCGCUUAUGCAUACUCAGGAUGAGUUUUGUGAAAGGCUGGGGACCGGAUUACCCAAGACAGAGCAUCAAAGAAACACCUUGCUGGAUUGAAAUUCACUUACACCGGGCCCUCCAGCUCCUAGACGAAGUACUUCAUACCAUGCCGAUUGCAGACCCACAACCUUUAGACUGAGGUCUUUUACCGUUGGGGCCCUUAACCUUAUCAGGAUGGUGGACUACAAAAUACAAUCCUGUUUAUAAUCUGAAGAUAUAUUUCACUUUUGUUCUGCUUUAUCUUUUCAUAAAGGGUUGAAAAUGUGUUUGCUGCCUUGCUCCUAGCAGACAGAAACUGGAUUAAAACAAUUUUUUUUUUCCUCUUCAGAACUUGUCAGGCAUGGCUCAGAGCUUGAAGAUUAGGAGAAACACAUUCUUAUUAAUUCUUCACCUGUUAUGUAUGAAGGAAUCAUUCCAGUGCUAGAAAAUUUAGCCCUUUAAAACGUCUUAGAGCCUUUUAUCUGCAGAACAUCGAUAUGUAUAUCAUUCUACAGAAUAAUCCAGUAUUGCUGAUUUUAAAGGCAGAGAAGUUCUCAAAGUUAAUUCACCUAUGUUAUUUUGUGUACAAGUUGUUAUUGUUGAACAUACUUCAAAAAUAAUGUGCCAUGUGGGUGAGUUAAUUUUACCAAGAGUAACUUUACUCUGUGUUUAAAAAGUAAGUUAAUAAUGUAUUGUAAUCUUUCAUCCAAAAUAUUUUUUGCAAGUUAUAUUAGUGAAGAUGGUUUCAAUUCAGAUUGUCUUGCAACUUCAGUUUUAUUUUUGCCAAGGCAAAAAACUCUUAAUCUGUGUGUAUAUUGAGAAUCCCUUAAAAUUACCAGACAAAAAAAUUUAAAAUUACGUUUGUUAUUCCUAGUGGAUGACUGUUGAUGAAGUAUACUUUUCCCCUGUUAAACAGUAGUUGUAUUCUUCUGUAUUUCUAGGCACAAGGUUGGUUGCUAAGAAGCCUAUAAGAGGAAUUUCUUUUCCUUCAUUCAUAGGGAAAGGUUUUGUAUUUUUUAAAACACUAAAAGCAGCGUCACUCUACCUAAUGUCUCACUGUUCUGCAAAGGUGGCAAUGCUUAAACUAAAUAAUGAAUAAACUGAAUAUUUUGGAAACUGCUAAAUUCUAUGUUAAAUACUGUGCAGAAUAAUGGAAACAUUACAGUUCAUAAUAGGUAGUUUGGAUAUUUUUGUACUUGAUUUGAUGUGACUUUUUUUGGUAUAAUGUUUAAAUCAUGUAUGUUAUGAUAUUGUUUAAAAUUCAGUUUUUGUAUCUUGGGGCAAGACUGCAAACUUUUUUAUAUCUUUUGGUUAUUCUAAGCCCUUUGCCAUCAAUGAUCAUAUCAAUUGGCAGUGACUUUGUAUAGAGAAUUUAAGUAGAAAAGUUGCAGAUGUAUUGACUGUACCACAGACACAAUAUGUAUGCUUUUUACCUAGCUGGUAGCAUAAAUAAAACUGAAUCUCAACAUACAAAGUUGAAUUCUAGGUUUGAUUUUUAAGAUUUUUUUUUUCUUUUGCACUUUUGAGUCCAAUCUCAGUGAUGAGGUACCUUCUACUAAAUGACAGGCAACAGCCAGUUCUAUUGGGCAGCUUUGUUUUUUUCCCUCACACUCUACCGGGACUUCCCCAUGGACAUUGUGUAUCAUGUGUAGAGUUGGUUUUUUUUUUUUUUAAUUUUUAUUUUACUAUAGCAGAAAUAGACCUGAUUAUCUACAAGAUGAUAAAUAGAUUGUCUACAGGAUAAAUAGUAUGAAAUAAAAUCAAGGAUUAUCUUUCAGAUGUGUUUACUUUUGCCUGGAGAACUUUUAGCUAUAGAAACACUUGUGUGAUGAUAGUCCUCCUUAUAUCACCUGGAAUGAACACAGCUUCUACUGCCUUGCUCAGAAGGUCUUUUAAAUAGACCAUCCUAGAAACCACUGAGUUUGCUUAUUUCUGUGAUUUAAACAUAGAUCUUGAUCCAAGCUACAUGACUUUUGUCUUUAAAUAACUUAUCUACCACCUCAUUUGUACUCUUGAUUACUUACAAAUUCUUUCAGUAAACACCUAAUUUUCUUCUGUAAAAGUUUGGUGAUUUAAGUUUUAUUGGCAGUUUUAUAAAAAGACAUCUUCUCUAGAAAUUGCUAACUUUAGGUCCAUUUUACUGUGAAUGAGGAAUAGGAGUGAGUUUUAGAAUAACAGAUUUUUAAAAAUCCAGAUGAUUUGAUUAAAACCUUAAUCAUACAUUGACAUAAUUCAUUGCUUCUUUUUUUUGAGAUAUGGAGUCUUGCUGUGUUGCCCAGGCAGGAGUGCAGUGGUAUGAUCUCAGCUCACUGCAACCUCUGCCUCCCGGGUUCAACUGAUUCUCCUGCCUCAGCCUCCCUGGUAGCUAGGAUUACAGGUGCCCGCCACCAUGCCUGGCUAACUUUUGUAGUUUUAGUAGAGACGGGGUUUUGCCUGUUGGCCAGGCUGGUCUUGAACUCCUGACCUCAAGUGAUCCAUCCACCUUGGCCUCCCAAAGUGCUGGGAUUACGGGCGUGAGCCACUGUCCCUGGCCUCAUUGUUCCCUUUUCUACUUUAAGGAAAGUUUUCAUGUUUAAUCAUCUGGGGAAAGUAUGUGAAAAAUAUUUGUUAAGAAGUAUCUCUUUGGAGCCAAGCCACCUGUCUUGGUUUCUUUCUACUAAGAGCCAUAAAGUAUAGAAAUACUUCUAGUUGUUAAGUGCUUAUAUUUGUACCUAGAUUUAGUCACACGCUUUUGAGAAAACAUCUAGUAUGUUAUGAUCAGCUAUUCCUGAGAGCUUGGUUGUUAAUCUAUAUUUCUAUUUCUUAGUGGUAGUCAUCUUUGAUGAAUAAGACUAAAGAUUCUCACAGGUUUAAAAUUUUAUGUCUACUUUAAGGGUAAAAUUAUGAGGUUAUGGUUCUGGGUGGGUUUUCUCUAGCUAAUUCAUAUCUCAAAGAGUCUCAAAAUGUUGAAUUUCAGUGCAAGCUGAAUGAGAGAUGAGCCAUGUACACCCACCGUAAGACCUCAUUCCAUGUUUGUCCAGUGCCUUUCAGUGCAUUAUCAAAGGGAAUCCUUCAUGGUGUUGCCUUUAUUUUCCGGGGAGUAGAUCGUGGGAUAUAGUCUAUCUCAUUUUUAAUAGUUUACCGCCCCUGGUAUACAAAGAUAAUGACAAUAAAUCACUGCCAUAUAACCUUGCUUUUUCCAGAAACAUGGCUGUUUUGUAUUGCUGUAACCACUAAAUAGGUUGCCUAUACCAUUCCUCCUGUGAACAGUGCAGAUUUACAGGUUGCAUGGUCUGGCUUAAGGAGAGCCAUACUUGAGACAUGUGAGUAAACUGAACUCAUAUUAGCUGUGCUGCAUUUCAGACUUAAAAUCCAUUUUUGUGGGGCAGGGUGUGGUGUGUAAAGGGGGGUGUUUGUAAUACAAGUUGAAGGCAAAAUAAAAUGUCCUGUCUCCCAGAUGAUAUACAUCUUAUUAUUUUUAAAGUUUAUUGCUAAUUGUAGGAAGGUGAGUUGCAGGUAUCUUUGACUAUGGUCAUCUGGGGAAGGAAAAUUUUACAUUUUACUAUUAAUGCUCCUUAAGUGUCUAUGGAGGUUAAAGAAUAAAAUGGUAAAUGUUUCUGUGCCUGGUUUGAUGGUAACUGGUUAAUAGUUACUCACCAUUUUAUGCAGAGUCACAUUAGUUCACACCCUUUCUGAGAGCCUUUUGGGAGAAGCAGUUUUAUUCUCUGAGUGGAACAGAGUUCUUUUUGUUGAUAAUUUCUAGUUUGCUCCCUUCGUUAUUGCCAACUUUACUGGCAUUUUAUUUAAUGAUAGCAGAUUGGGAAAAUGGCAAAUUUAGGUUACGGAGGUAAAUGAGUAUAUGAAAGCAAUUACCUCUAAAGCCAGUUAACAAUUAUUUUGUAGGUGGGGUACACUCAGCUUAAAGUAAUGCAUUUUUUUUUCCCGUAAAGGCAGAAUCCAUCUUGUUGCAGAUAGCUAUCUAAAUAAUCUCAUAUCCUCUUUUGCAAAGACUACAGAGAAUAGGCUAUGACAAUCUUGUUCAAGCCUUUCCAUUUUUUUCCCUGAUAACUAAGUAAUUUCUUUGAACAUACCAAGAAGUAUGUAAAAAGUCCAUGGCCUUAUUCAUCCACAAAGUGGCAUCCUAGGCCCAGCCUUAUCCCUAGCAGUUGUCCCAGUGCUGCUAGGUUGCUUAUCUUGUUUAUCUGGAAUCACUGUGGAGUGAAAUUUUCCACAUCAUCCAGAAUUGCCUUAUUUAAGAAGUAAAACGUUUUAAUUUUUAGCCUUUUUUUGGUGGAGUUAUUUAAUAUGUAUAUCAGAGGAUAUACUAGAUGGUAACAUUUCUUUCUGUGCUUGGCUAUCUUUGUGGACUUCAGGGGCUUCUAAAACAGACAGGACUGUGUUGCCUUUACUAAAUGGUCUGAGACAGCUAUGGUUUUGAAUUUUUAGUUUUUUUUUUUUAACCCACUUCCCCUCCUGGUCUCUUCCCUCUCUGAUAAUUACCAUUCAUAUGUGAGUGUUAGUGUGCCUCCUUUUAGCAUUUUCUUCUUCUCUUUCUGAUUCUUCAUUUCUGACUGCCUAGGCAAGGAAACCAGAUAACCAAACUUACUAGAACGUUCUUUAAAACACAAGUACAAACUCUGGGACAGGACCCAAGACACUUUCCUGUGAAGUGCUGAAAAAGACCUCAUUGUAUUGGCAUUUGAUAUCAGUUUGAUGUAGCUUAGAGUGCUUCCUGAUUCUUGCUGAGUUUCAGGUAGUUGAGAUAGAGAGAAGUGAGUCAUAUUCAUAUUUUCCCCCUUAGAAUAAUAUUUUGAAAGGUUUCAUUGCUUCCACUUGAAUGCUGCUCUUACAAAAACUGGGGUUACAAGGGUUACUAAAUUAGCAUCAGUAGCCAGAGGCAAUACCGUUGUCUGGAGGACACCAGCAAACAACACACAACAAAGCAAAACAAACCUUGGGAAACUAAGGCCAUUUGUUUUGUUUUGGUGUCCCCUUUGAAGCCCUGCCUUCUGGCCUUACUCCUGUACAGAUAUUUUUGACCUAUAGGUGCCUUUAUGAGAAUUGAGGGUCUGACAUCCUGCCCCAAGGAGUAGCUAAAGUAAUUGCUAGUGUUUUCAGGGAUUUUAACAUCAGACUGGAAUGAAUGAAUGAAACUUUUUGUCCUUUUUUUUUCUGUUUUUUUUUUUCUAAUGUAGUAAGGACUAAGGAAAACCUUUGGUGAAGACAAUCAUUUCUCUCUGUUGAUGUGGAUACUUUUCACACCGUUUAUUUAAAUGCUUUCUCAAUAGGUCCAGAGCCAGUGUUCUUGUUCAACCUGAAAGUAAUGGCUCUGGGUUGGGCCAGACAGUUGCACUCUCUAGUUUGCCCUCUGCCACAAAUUUGAUGUGUGACCUUUGGGCAAGUCAUUUAUCUUCUCUGGGCCUUAGUUGCCUCAUCUGUAAAAUGAGGGAGUUGGAGUAGAUUAAUUAUUCCAGCUCUGAAAUUCUAAGUGACCUUGGCUACCUUGCAGCAGUUUUGGAUUUCUUCCUUAUCUUUGUUCUGCUGUUUGAGGGGGCUUUUUACUUAUUUCCAUGUUAUUCAAAGGAGACUAGGCUUGAUAUUUUAUUACUGUUCUUUUAUGGACAAAAGGUUACAUAGUAUGCCCUUAAGACUUAAUUUUAACCAAAGGCCUAGCACCACCUUAGGGGCUGCAAUAAACACUUAACGCGCGUGCGCACGCGCGCGCGCACACACACACACACACACACACACACACACAGGUCAGAGUUUAAGGCUUUCGAGUCAUGACAUUCUAGCUUUUGAAUUGCGUGCACACACACACGCACGCACACACUCUGGUCAGAGUUUAUUAAGGCUUUCGAGUCAUGACAUUAUAGCUUUUGAGUUGGUGUGUGUGACACCACCCUCCUAAGUGGUGUGUGCUUGUAAUUUUUUUUUUCAGUGAAAAUGGAUUGAAAACCUGUUGUUAAUGCUUAGUGAUAUUAUGCUCAAAACAAGGAAAUUCCCUUGAACCGUGUCAAUUAAACUGGUUUAUAUGACUCAAGAAAACAAUACCAGUAGAUGAUUAUUAACUUUAUUCUUGGCUCUUUUUAGGUCCAUUUUGAUUAAGUGACUUUUGGCUGGAUCAUUCAGAGCUCUCUUCUAGCCUACCCUUGGAUGAGUACAAUUAAUGAAAUUCAUAUUUUCAAGGACCUGGGAGCCUUCCUUGGGGCUGGGUUGAGGGUGGGGGGUUGGGGAGUCCUGGUAGAGGCCAGCUUUGUGGUAGCUGGAGAGGAAGGGAUGAAACCAGCUGCUGUUGCAAAGGCUGCUUGUCAUUGAUAGAAGGACUCACGGGCUUGGAUUGAUUAAGACUAAACAUGGAGUUGGCAAACUUUCUUCAAGUAUUGAGUUCUGUUCAAUGCAUUGGACAUGUGAUUUAAGGGAAAAGUGUGAAUGCUUAUAGAUGAUGAAAACCUGGUGGGCUGCAGAGCCCAGUUUAGAAGAAGUGAGUUGGGGGUUGGGGACAGAUUUGGUGGUGGUAUUUCCCAACUGUUUCCUCCCCUAAAUUCAGAGGAAUGCAGCUAUGCCAGAAGCCAGAGAAGAGCCACUCGUAGCUUCUGCUUUGGGGACAACUGGUCAGUUGAAAGUCCCAGGAGUUCCUUUGUGGCUUUCUGUAUACUUUUGCCUGGUUAAAGUCUGUGGCUAAAAAAUAGUCGAACCUUUCUUGAGAACUCUGUAACAAAGUAUGUUUUUGAUUAAAAGAGAAAGCCAACUAAA